GACGAACGCUGGCGGCGGGCUUAACACAUGCAAGUCGAACGGAAAGGCCCUGCUUUUGUGGGGUGCUCGAGUGGCGAACGGGUGAGUAACACGUGAGUAACCUGCCCUUGACUUUGGGAUAACUUCAGGAAACUGGGGCUAAUACCGGAUAGGAGCUCCUGCUGCAUGGUGGGGGUGGGAAAGUUUCGGCGGUUGGGGAUGGACUCGCGGCUUAUCAGCUUGUUGGUGGGGUAGUGGCUUACCAAGGCAUUGACGGGUAGCCGGCCGGAGAGGGUGACCGGCCUCAUUGGGACUGAGAUACGGCGCAGACUCCUACGGGAGGCAGCAGUGGGGAAUAUUGCACAAUGGGCGGGAGCCUGAUGAAGCAACGCCGCGUGCGGAAUGCCGGCCUUCGGGUUGUAAAACGCUUUCGCCUGUGACGACGCGUGAGUGACGGUAAUGGGUAAAGAAGCACCGGCUAACUACGUG
rnacentral:rRNA from 1 species